rnacentral:lncRNA from 1 species
UGGAGUCAUCGGGAACUAGCAGGAAGAAGUCACCAAAUCAAGCUCUGCAAAAAUCUGAUUGGUGGCCUUCACCCAAGCAUAUAAACAUAGAAGAUGGCUUUGGUUUUGAAGGCCUACUCUCCCAGGACAACCGAUCGGAUGAACAAAGAAGAUGGCUUUGAUUUUGGAGACCUGCUCUCUCUGUUCCUGUACACGCAGGGGUUUUUUUUUUUUUGAGGGAACAGGAGAGGAGCAAGGCCUCUACUGGAAUUUUAUUUAAGAGAAAAGAUUACAAAUAGAUUACAAAAGAAAGGUAGGGGAGCAGGGUGAAAAGAAACAUCUUCAAGAAACCUAAAGGAGACAAAGAAAAUGAAUGAAAUUACACAACUUGCUCUAGCCAUAAUUCAAUUUCAGGGAAGUAAUUUUUCUUGGCUCUCCAUAGAAGGCGUCUAAAGGUAUGCUUGAAGAUCUCUAAUCCCCGAAGACUGGAGGCUUCAAUUCCUCUGAAGAUGACAUCAUUUCUCACAGUCCAGAUACUCCAACACAUAAUAAUGAUAACUUCCAUGUAGAAUUUGACUCUAAGCUGCAACUUGAGGCUCUGAAAACGUCUGAAUGGGUCGGGUUCACUAAUGAUUGUUAAACCAAUUAGACUCCAACAGGCUUUUGCCAGAUCACAUUCCAGGAACAGAUGGCUAACCGUUUCUUCUGAAAACGUCUGAAUGGGUCGGGUUCACUAAUGAUUGUUAAACCAAUUAG